UACGGAGGGUGCAAGCGUUAAUCGGAAUUACUGGGCGUAAAGCGCGCGUAGGCGGACUAUUAAGUCAGGGGUGAAAUCCCGGGGCUCAACCCCGAACUGCCUUUGAUACUGGUAGUCUUGAGUUCGAGAGAGGUGAGUGGAACUCCGAGUGUAGAGGUGAAAUUCGUAGAUAUUCGGAAGAACACCAGUGGCGAAGGCGGCUCACUGGCUCGAUACUGACGCUGAGGUGCGAAAGUGUGGGGAGCAAACAGGAUUAGAUACCCCCUAGUCC
rnacentral:rRNA from 1 species